rnacentral:misc_RNA from 1 species
AAGUCGUAACAAGGUUUCCGUAGGUGAACCUGCGGAAGGAUCAUUAAAUGAAGCAACCUAGGAGCCUGAGAUAUGGCCACCGGGCACACCUUCCACCCUUUGUUUAUCACACUUUGUUGCUUUGGCAGGCCUGCCUCCGGGCUGCUGGCUCCGGCCGGCGAGCGCCUGCCAGAGGACCCAAACUCUGUUUGUCUGUAACGUCUGAGUACUAUAUAAUAGUUAAAACUUUCAACAACGGAUCUCUUGGUUCUG